rnacentral:rRNA from 1 species
UAAUACAUAUGUCUCGAGCGUUACCCGGAAUCACUGGGUGUAAAGGGUUCGUAGGCGGCAGAGUAAGUUGGAUAUGAAAGACCGGAGCUCAACUCCGUGUUUGUGUACAAAACUGCUUUGCUAGAAUUAGGGAGAGGUAAGCGGAAUUCUAAGUGUAGGGGUGCAAUCCGUAGAUACUUAGAGGAACACCAAAAGCGAAGGCAGCUUACUGGAACUAUAUUGACGCUGAGGAACGAAAGCGUGGGUAGCGAAAAGGAUUAGAUACCCUUGUAGUCCACGCCCUAAACGAUGAUAACUAAGUGUUGCAUUUUGGUGCAGUGCUGUAGCUAACGCGUUAAGUUAUCCACCUGAGGAGUACGGUCGCAAGAUUA